UGGGGAAUAUUGGACAAUGGGGGAAACCCUGAUCCAGCGACGCCGCGUGGGUGAUGAAGGCUUUCGGGUCGUAAAGCCCUGUCAGGAGGAAAGAAUGCUCCUAUGGGAAAUAUCCAUAGGAAGUGACGGUACCUCCAAAGGAAGCACCGGCCAACUCCGUGCCAGCAGCCGCGGUAAGACGGAGGGUGCAAGCGUUGCUCGGAAUCACUGGGCGUAAAGGGUGCGUAGGCGGCCUUUUAAGUCUGGCGUGAAAGCCCAGGGCUCAGCCCUGGAAGUGCGCUAGAAACUGGGGGGCUCGAGUAUCGGAUGGGAGAGUGGAAUUCCUGGUGUAGCGGUGAAAUGCGUAGAUAUCAGGAGGAAUACCGGUGGCGAAGGCGACUCUCUGGACGAUAACUGACGCUGAGGCACGAAAGCGUGGGGAGCAAACAGGAUUAGAUACCCCCGUAGUCC
rnacentral:rRNA from 1 species